GCAGGAAAUUAAAGAUAGGUUUUCUGGUGCUGUUGAGGCGUUUACUAGAAGGAACGUGUCUGGAACUGGUUUGCAAGGGGACCAUUUGAGACACCACAGAUCUUCAGACGAUGUUCCAUCAUCCAAGGAUGUGCAAGCUGAUACUGAAAGAAGCCGUGUAACUCGGACUGGUAGCAACUCGAGUAGGGCUGUCAUGGGAAGCAGCCGACCAAGCUCAUCUGGUGAACCCACUGACAAUCGCACUGGUCGAUUGGGUUCAAGUAGUGGCCGUAUUUCCACCACCCAAAGAGUGCAACCCGGAUUUGAAUCCAAGUCAUCAUCUUUUACCCGCGCUACUGCAACAAGAGGCGGUAGAGAUGAUGCUCUUAGGAGCUUUGAGCUGCUAACUAUUGGCACUGGAAGAAGGAAAUGAGAGGCUAUAUGGUGUCUAAAAUCUGCCCCCUCAAGUUGAGCAGCAGAUUGAGCAGCUUUCUUUAAGCACUUCCCGGCAAUCGUGCACUGAUUCUUGCAAUUUAACAGACUUGCUAAACUUUCAGAGAUAGGGGGGCUGUUUCUCUGUUUAUAUAUUUGAGAAUGCCUCUCUAGUGUGUGAUGUUGUAGACCGGGAUAUGUCUCGAAAAUAAAAAUAUUUCACAUCUCUGUAAAUUGCUUAAUGCAGAGAUGAGCAUAGCUCCCUUUUUUUCCUGAUGCAUGGCUCUGCUAUGUUUGCAAAUGGGGAGGAAGUUUAGUGGAAAGUAAAUAGUUCAUGGUUAUGCAGUGUAGUUCCGAUUACUUUAAGGGCUACCUCGGUACAUUUUCUUAGUUGUGUGGUUCUUGUGCCAAGAAAGAUAUUCAUUUACUUUAUGAAUGUACCUUAAAUUUCUUCUAUCCAAUCUUACAUGAUUGUUACUA